rnacentral:misc_RNA from 1 species
GUUUCGCCUUGAUAAACCUCAUAGGUUUCCAAAACCUAUGAGGUUUGAAUAACAACAAAUCAA